UAGGCUCUCACUUCUCUGGUUAGGU
rnacentral:piRNA from 1 species